UACGGAGGGGGCUAGCGUUGUUCGGAAUUACUGGGCGUAAAGCGCGCGUAGGCGGCUUUGUAAGUUAGAGGUGAAAGCCCGAAGCUCAACUUUGGAAUUGCCUUUAAGACUGCAUCGCUCGAAUCCGGGAGAGGUGAGUGGAAUUCCGAGUGUAGAGGUGAAAUUCGUAGAUAUUCGGAAGAACACCAGUGGCGAAGGCGGCUCACUGGACCGGUAUUGACGCUGAGGUGCGAAAGCGUGGGGAGCAAACAGG
rnacentral:rRNA from 1 species